UAACGCCAAAUGAGAUGAGAGAUGCAGCCCUCGAAAGCAAGAAUGAGAAAUUAAAAACUUAAAAGUGCUGGACAAAAGGGACAUUAAAAGUAAUGACCCUUACCUCAUACAGAAGGUAUGAGUUUUCUAUAUAUUGUGAAGGGAGAUGUGACAAGACUUGAUACCAGAAGGACAUGUAAGGAGAAGGAGUUACAAUUAUAGUUACUUAAAGUAUCUAUAUUUUUACCUUACAACGCAGGCAUGAAUGCUGCCCAAGCCGAUUACAGGAAACACCUGAUGAAAAAAUGGAUAACAUCAAUCUUUAAAAAUGAAAGGAGUUCCAGCUGAACCACAAGGAAUCUGGGGAAGUGCAGCCAUGCUAGACAGAGCCAACAUUAUUUCUAAGGGACCAACAAGAAAAACUCCUGUUGCCUAACCAGCUGGGAUAAUCACACUGGACAAGUGAAAUACCAGGCCAUUUUUCACCACCUAAGCAGUACAUCAGAAGCCGGAAACCCAGGGAAUGGAACCACAGAUAACAAAAGUGUAAAAGGAGCAUUCAGGGACAUCAAGGCCAUUGUAGAGAAGCUAAAUGAAUUCGCUGCAGCAGUUUUCACUGGAGAAGAUUUGGGGAAGAUACCCACAUCAGAGCUAUUCUUUUGGGGCAUAAAUCUGACGUACUGUCCCCAAUUAGAACAAAUUGAUACCCUACACAGUAAUAAGUCACCACAACCAGACGCUGGUCAUCUAAGAGUUCUGAGGGAACUCAAAUAUGAAAUUUUGAGAACUACUAAUUGUACUAUGUAACCUAUCACUAAAGUCAGUCUCUGGUCCAGAUAACUGGAAAUUAACUAAUGAAUGCCAAUUUUUUAAAAGGGCUCCAGAGGCGAUGCUGGCAAUUACAGACCGGUAAGACUAAUUUCUGUACUGGUGUAUUGGUAGAAACUAUAGUGAAGAACAAAAUUAUCAGACACAGAGAUAAACAUGAUUUGUUAGGGAAAAGUCAACAGAGCUUUUGUAAAGGGAAGUUGUGCCU